rnacentral:rRNA from 1 species
UACGUAGGGUGCAAGCGUUGUCCGGAAUUAUUGGGCGUAAAGAGCUCGUAGGCGGUUUGUCGCGUCGGCUGUGAAAACUCACAGCUCAACUGUGGGCGUGCGGGCGAUACGGGCAGACUAGAGUACUGCAGGGGAGACUGGAAUUCCUGGUGUAGCGGUGGAAUGCGCAGAUAUCAGGAGGAACACCGGUGGCGAAGGCGGGUCUCUGGGCAGCAUCUGACACUGAGGCACGAAGGCCAGGGGAGCAAACGGG